UACGUAGGUGGCAAGCGAUACUCGGAAUCACUAGGCGUAAAGCGCAGGUAGGCGGUUCGGUAAGUCUUUUGUGAAAGCUCCCGGCUUAACUGGGAGAGGUCAAGGGAAACUGCCGGGCUAGAGUGUGGUAGGGGAUACUGGAAUUCCUGGUGUAGCGGUGAAAUGCGUAGAUAUCAGGAGGAAUACCUAUGGCGAAAGCAGGUAUCUGGGCCAUCACUGACGCUGAGCUGCGAAAGCUAGGGGAGCAAAACAGG
rnacentral:rRNA from 1 species